rnacentral:rRNA from 1 species
UAAUACGUAGGAGGCAAGCGUUAUCCGGAUUUACUGGGCGUAAAGCGGGCGCAGGCGGCCUUUCAAGUCGGAUGUGAAAUCUCCCGGCUUAACUGGGAGGGAUCAUUCGAUACUGUUGGGCUAGAGGACAGCAGGGGGAGGUGGAAUUCCCGGUGGAGUGGUGAAAUGCGUAGAUAUCGGGAGGAACACCAGUGGCGAAGGCGGCCUCCUGGGCUGUUUCUGACGCUGAGGUCCGAAAGCGUGGGGAGCGAACAGGAUUAGAUACCCUGGUAGACCACGCUGUAAACUAUGGACACUAGGUAUGGGGAGUAUCGACCCUCUCCGUGCCGAAGCUAACGCUCUAAGUGUCCCGCCUGGGGACUACGACCGCAAGGUUA